GAUGAAGAACGCAGCGAAAUGCGAUACGUAAUGUGAAUUGCAGAAUUCAGUGAAUCAUCGAGUCUUUGAACGCACAUUGCGCCCCCUGGUAUUCCGGGGGGCAUGCCUGUCCGAGCGUCAUUGCUGCCCUCAAGCACGGCUUGUGUGUUGGGCCUCCGUCCUCCUCCCGGGGGACGGGCCCGAAAGGCAGCGGCGGCACCGCGUCCGGUCCUCGAGCGUAUGGGGCUUCGUCACCCGCUCUCGUAGGCCCGGCCGGCGCUUGCCGACACAUCAAUCUUUUUUCCAGGUUGACCUCGGAUCAGGUAGGGAUACCCGCUGAACUUAAGCAUAUCAAUAAGCGGAGAA
rnacentral:misc_RNA from 1 species